AGAGUGAUAGCUGGGUCAUGUGGUGUGUUUGUAUGUUUAGUUUUAUAGGAAACUGCAAACUCCUGUCCAGAGUGCCUGUAUCAUUUUACAUACCCACCAGCAAU
rnacentral:pre_miRNA from 1 species